CGAGGGGAUAGUGAAGCUCCGACCGCUGUACGCAUCAAGGCGUGGGGUGCCAGGAGCAACACUUCGACCUUAGGUUUGGUUUUUGCCGGGCUUUACAACCAACGGUCCGACGUUGAGAAAGUUGGUCGAGGGGAUAGUGAAGCUCCGACCGCUGUACGCAUCAAGGCGUGGGGUGCCAGGAGCAACACUUCGACCUUAGGUUUGGUUUUUGCCGGGCUUUACAACCAACGGUCCGACGUUGAGAAAGUUGGUCGAGGGGAUAGUGAAGCUCCGACCGCUGUACGCAUCAAGGCGUGGGGUGCCAGGAGCAACACUUCGACCUUAGGUUUGGUUUUUGCCGGGCUUUACAACCAACGGUCCGACGUUGAGGUCCGUAGACCGCGCAAACGUCCCCAUGGAAGGCGUAAAGUUCCAACCGGCGGCUUUUUAGUGGCUAACGGGCAUUUUGGAAAUAAAAGAAAAUAUUUAAAAAGCAAAUAUAAGUUUAAAUUGUAAAUUCAAUUAU
rnacentral:lncRNA from 2 species